CGGGAAUAGCUCAAAUUUUAAAUCUGGCCGGCGUGGUCGGUCCGAGUUGUAAUUUGAAGAAGCGAUUAUCACGUUUUCGUUCGGGUUCAAGUUCCUUGGAACAGGACGUCAUAGAGGGUGAGAAUCCCGU
rnacentral:rRNA from 1 species